GCGCCUGUAGCUCAGUGGAAGAGCGGCGGCCUUCUAAGCCGCGGGUCGGGGGUUCGAAUCCCUCCAGGCGCA
rnacentral:tRNA from 1 species